rnacentral:rRNA from 1 species
AGUGAACGCUGGCGGUAGGCCUAACACAUGCAAGUCGAACGGCAGCACAGUAAGAGCUUGCUCUUACGGGUGGCGAGUGGCGGACGGGUGAGGAAUACAUCGGAAUCUACUUUUUCGUGGGGGAUAACGUAGGGAAACUUACGCUAAUACCGCAUACGACCUACGGGUGAAAGCAGGGGAUCGUCGGACCUUGCGCGAUUGAAUGAGCCGAUGUCGGAUUAGCUAGUUGGCGGGGUAAAGGCCCACCAAGGCGACGAUCCGUAGCUGGUCUGAGAGGAUGAUCAGCCACACUGGAACUGAGACACGGUCCAGACUCCUACGGGAGGCAGCAGUGGGGAAUAUUGGACAAUGGGCGCAAGCCUGAUCCAGCCAUACCGCGUGGGUGAAGACGGCCUUCGGGUUGUAAAGCCCUUUUGUUGGGAAAGAAAAGCAGCAGGUUAAUACCCCGCUGUUCUGACGGUACCCAAAGAAUAAGCACCGGCUAACUUCGUG